rnacentral:rRNA from 1 species
AUACGGAGGAUCCGAGCGUUAUCCGGAUUUAUUGGGUUUAAAGGGUGCGCAGGCGGCCAUUUAAGUCAGCGGUUAAAUCGUGGGGCUCAACCCCAUUCUGCCGUUGAUACUGGGUGGCUUGAUUGCGGUCGAGGUUGGCGGAAUUCGUUGUGUAGCGGUGAAAUGCAUAGAUAUGACGAAGAACACCGAUUGCGUAGGCAGCUGACCAGACCGCAAAUGACGCUCAUGCACGAAAGUGCGGGGAUCGAACAGGAUUAGAUACCCUGGUAGUCCGCACAGUAAACGAUGAAUACUCGCUGUUUGCGAUACACUGUAAGCGGCCAAGCGAAAGCGUUAAGUAUUCCACCUGGGGAGUACGCCGGCAACGGUGAAACUCAAAUGAAUUGACGGGG